rnacentral:lncRNA from 1 species
CCACCGCUCAUCCAUGGAACCGGUCGUCGCCAUCACCGUCUUCUCCCCUUCUCCACUCCAACAGUCGCUUCAUGAUCUAGGGUUUCACUGAGAAACCAGUCGUUUCAUGAUCUAGGGUUUUUCUGUAGAUCCGACGCUAUCUCAACAGAUUCAACACCAGAUCCGACACCAGAUCGAUUUCUAUGGCUUCUUUCCCGGUGGCUUCAAGAUCCGACACUAUCUCAGUAGAUCCGACACCAGAUCUACUGGUUUGACUGUAGGAUCUUCCGUUUGGUUGUGGGUUCGUCAACGAUGGUGGUUCUGGGUGGAAGAUCUAGCCAGAUCUAUGGCUCUGUUCUUUUUUCAUGGGUGAUUUUAAGUUCAGAAGGAAGAAGGAACUGAGACUGAAGAUGUUCUUGAUGAUGGAAUCGUGAAAAACAUACAAAUCUUAUUGCUUCUUCAGGUUGCGGUUGCCUAUGAAAGUAUGAAAAUCUACCAAGCAAACUGCGGUUAACCCUGUUAAUUAUAGUUUGCUAUUUAAAAUGUGUUUCGGAGAAAAAAAGUGUAAUGUGUUUAUUCAAAAUUGGAGUAAAAAGUUUAAUGUGUUUAUUCGCGGUUAAACCUGGUAAUUAUGGUUUGCUAUUUAAAAUGUGUUUUGGAGUAAAGAAGUGUAAUGUGUAUUCAAAAUUGUUUGUUUCGCUCACAAGUGGGUCGACAUUGCUGGUACUGAGGCUGAUUUUGAAGCUAUAAAUAUGUGGCUAAAUGGGUCGGUUUGGGUAACGGUUCAGAUGGGUAAGCUCGAUAUGUGGCUGAAAGACGGAUUCCAUUUGUUGCUCUUGAUGUGACAAGGUAUAAAGUCAUUUAUAUUUUUUAUGUGCUAAAUGGGUUAAAGAGAUGAGGAUUCGAGCUCUGGAGAUGGUGUCAGAACUCAAAGAGCGGAUAAACAGGGCCUUCUGGUUUUUGCUAUCGGUGUAGGCCUCAGCGCAUUUGACAAAGCAUCCUCGCACAUUCAAAUCAAUGAAUUCUACCGAGGAGUUCGUGAUUCGCAGCUGAUCGGAUU